ensembl:lncRNA
CCCAGGCGGAGGUAUUCGGCGGGGUUGACUGGAGUUCAGCUGCACAGUGUGGUGCCUGCAGCCGCCUGCCACCAGGCCCACUGGCCCUGCGCUGUAGCAUGGAGACCCAGGACCCAAACAUUUGGCCGGGAACAUUCCAGAGCCUAGGCCCUCUCUUUCUCUCUCACUCUCUCUCUCUGUGUCACUAAACAGCCCACCGUCCCGUUGUACCCCAGCCAACAGACAACAGCACAGCUUACAACUGGGGCUCACUACAACCUUGAUGGAUACCCUUCCCCUAACCAUGGUGUUCGAAGAGGGUGUAUUGGGAGGAGGAUUCAUCAAUAAAUACCCUGGAACAAUGUUUGUGGUGCACUCACUCAUGACACUUUUCUAAGUGAUAAAUCAUCUUCAAGCUUAAUAAGGUAGAUAAGCAAAUGCAUGUAAUAUUCUCAUACAUGUAGCCUGUACAUGAAUUCUUUGUGACAAUUGCUUUAAACUAGUACCUAGCUCAUCUUGACCAUGUGUUAUACCUUCUCUCUUUCAUAAGCAAUCAGUCACAAGGGAAAAAAAUACAGAUUGAGCCCUUCAAUCAAACUGAGGACAGAGAAAUAUGUGUGCACCAGUUCAUGCAUUCAACAAGCGUUGAACGAAGGACUUCCACGGGUCCUCCGUCUCCAAAGACAAUAGUGCUGUGACCUGGGUUUGAUUUUGUUUUUGUUUGUUUUCAUUAUUUCAGUUUUGUUCGGUCUCUUUUUAACAUCCAUG